rnacentral:rRNA from 1 species
UUUAAGAUGAGAGUUUGAUCCUGGCUCAGGACGAACGCUGGCGGCAUGCCUAAUACAUGCAAGUCGAACGAGUUCCCGUUGAUUGACGUGCUUGCACUGAUUUCAACAUUGGAACGAGUGGCG